GUUAAGAUGUCAGAUUAAAUGAAUUGAAUUUAAGCUUCAAAAAUGAAAGUAUAAUUAUAUUUUCUCUUAAUA
rnacentral:tRNA from 1 species